GCCGUAGAGUAGGGUUACUUCGCUUCGAUCGAGAGGGUCGCCAGUUCGAGUCUGGCCUCCGGGA
rnacentral:tRNA from 1 species